UAUUCUGCUGCUGUUUCCCUUGCUAUAAGUCAAGGAAUCGAUGAUCACAAAAAUUAGGUAAAGCAAUGAUUUAUCCAACUCAAAAGUUUGACAUGGAAUCUUAUAAACACAUAAACAACUUAUGCCUAUGAUAAACUAUGAAGCUGAGAAAUAACCACAAUUGACAAUAGAGCACCCAAGUAUUGUUUAAAGCAUGAAUGUCCUUGAUAUUGCAUUUUCAGGAAAUGAAAAAUAUUAUAUGCCCAUAAUAAAUUAUCAAGGAAAAAAAAUCACCAAUAUAUGAAACAAAAAGGAAAAAGUCACUUUUUGUACCUGCUGCAUUUGGAUGUCUCUAA
rnacentral:misc_RNA from 1 species